rnacentral:rRNA from 1 species
UUACAGAGUUGCAAAACUCCCAAACCAUUGUGAACGUUACCUAUACUGUUGCUUCGGCGGGUGGCCCCAGGUUUUUUCCUGGGUGCCCCUGGGCCCCUUGUGGGUGCCCGCCGGAGGUUACCAAACUCUUGAUAUUUAUGGCCUCUCUGAGUCUUCUGUACUGAAUAAGUCAAAACUUUCAACAACGGAUCUCUUGGUUCUGGCAUCGAUGAAGAACGCAGCGAAAUGCGAUAAGUAAUGUGAAUUGCAGAAUUCAGUGAAUCAUCGAAUCUUUGAACGCACAUUGCGCCCGCCAGUAUUCUGGCGGGCAUGCCUGUUCGAGCGUCAUUUCAACCAUCAAGCCCUCGGCUUGUGUUGGGGACCUGCGGCUGCCGCAGGCCCUAAAAAACAGUGGCGGGCUCGCUGUCACACCGAGCGUAGUAGUAUUAUCUCGCUCUGGGCGUGCUGCGGGUUCCGGCCGUUAAACCACCUUAUAACCCAAGGUUGACCUCGGAUCAGGUAGGAAGACCCGCUGAACUUAAGCAUAUCAAUAAGCGGAGGAAAAGAAACCAACAGGGAUUGCCCUAGUAACGGCGAGUGAAGCGGCAACAGCUCAAAUUUGAAAUCUGGCUUCGGCCCGAGUUGUAAUUUGCAGAGGAAGCUUUAGGCGCGGCACCAUCUGAGUCCCCUGGAACGGGGCGCCAUAGAGGGUGAGAGCCCCGUAUAGAUGGACGCCUAGCCUGUGUAAAGCUCCUUCGACGAGUCGAGUAGUUUGGAUGCUGCUCAAA